GCACUACUGAAGAGUCCUAUAAUGGGACGAAACAGCUGUCUAGUGC
rfam:Schistosoma mansoni strain Puerto Rico chromosome 2, complete genome